AGGACGAACGCUGGCGGCGUGCUUAACACAUGCAAGUCGAGCGGAAAGGCCCUUCGGGGUACUCGAGCGGCGAACGGGUGAGUAACACGUGGGUAAUCAACCCCCGACACCGGGAUAGCCCAGGGAAACUUGGAUUAAUACCGGAUGCUCCAUCUGGCUUUCGAGCCGGCUGGAAAAGGGUAGCUUCGGCCUCCGGUCGGGGACGAGCCCGCGGCGGAUUAGCUUGCUGGUGAGGUAAAGGCCUACCAAGGCUCCGAUCGGUAGCUGGUCUGAGAGGAUGAUCAGCCACACUGGGACUGAGACACGGCCCAGACUCCUACGGGAGGCAGCAGUGGGGAAUAUUGGACAAUGGGCGAAAGCCUGAUCCAGCAAUGCCGCGUGGGUGAAGAAGGUCUUCGGAUUGUAAAGCCCUUUCGACGGGGACGAUGAUGACGGUACCCGUAGAAGAAGCCCGGCUAACUUCGUGCCAGCAGCCGC
rnacentral:rRNA from 1 species